CUCGCCUCGAAAAAUUUGCGGUCAUUCGAUUCGCUUGCUUAGGUACAUGGUGCAUCUUUUUUUGGAUCCUGAUCUGAGAAAGUACACACAAUUUUUUUUACGAUUCAAAAUUGGUGAAUACGAUACUUUUAAAUUCUUUUUUUCUGUCCUAUAUCUUAAAUUAGCCAGCUGCGCUUAUAUAGGGGUUUACACUGGCCUCAAGCCUUUUCAGGGCGAUGUCUAUUUUUUACACUGUUGUGGCACGCGGUGACGUGAUUCUGGCUGAAUAUUCUACCAAGCAAGGAAAUGAUAUCAAUUUUAUCAAGAAUUUACUCAGUAAUAUAGACAGCACGUCAAAUACAAAGAAAACCUAUUUUUACGAUAGUUUUUAUUUCAACUAUGAGGUUGAAGACGGGUUGAUUUUUAUGUGUAUUUCGGAUGUCGGCCCAAAGAAAAAUCUACCCUUUGUAUAUUUAUCUAUGGUGAAAAAGCGCUUUUUAGCGCAAUUUGGUGACAGAUGGAGAGAUGCGAUUAGUUACUAUGCACAGACUGAGUUCAGUCGAGUGUUGAGACAAUUGAGUGAACACCAUAAUGAAAGUGGAAGCGUAGACCGGAUAUCCAGGUUACAAGAUUCAAUUGCAGAAGUUAAGGAAAUUAUGAUUGAUAACAUUGAUAAAGCGUUAACACGUGGCGCAGCAAUUGAAGACACGCUUCGCAAAACCGACGAAGUUGCUUCCAAUUCCAUUGAUUUCAGGAGAAGGACAACCAAUAUGAAAAACACAAUGAGAUGGAGAUAUGUUAAAUCAAUCAUUUGCAUAGCAGUGGCAAUGAUACUGUUAAUAUAUAUUAUCACUGCAAUUGCAUGUCAAGGACCUACAUUUAAAGGCUGUCGCAAAGAAUGAGAUCUCUCUGUUUUUCACAAUGAACGAAACAGAAAAAAAAAGUUAAGCGAA